CUCAAAAUUGGAAAUAUUGGAAAGUGUUGUAACCCCAGAGAGAGAGAGAGAGAGGGAAGCGUCAGCGUGAUGCGUUGGUGUUAGCGACUAGGCGUUGAUCAUGCCAUCAUAUCUGGAAUGGGGUCUCCGAGCCACACAAGUCAAUUGUUAAGAGAGAUUUUUCAUUUUUGUUGUCACCUUCUCAACCUCUUAGCAUAAUUGUGAUGGUCCCAGAGAUGGGCUUCAUGCGCAGUUGUUUAUCCAGAAUACAAAUACCCAUCUUGCCACGAGUGGAAUUCUGUCAGAUGCAAUGCACCGAAGUGCCUAAUCAACUUACCCUUUUUGAACGCAAUAUGAUGACAGUCCUCGCCACACUCGAAGAGCCACAUAGUCCUUGCUUAUGGAACCUUCUUCUAGCUUCAUCUUUUCACCCGGCAUGCGCAUUUAUUCAAAUGGACCUUUUUAGCCAGGAAUUAUGGACGCCCUACCUGCUAGCGCAGUGGCAAUCAAGAUAGGUACAGUGGGGCUGAAUACAGCUGAUCCGGUACCAAGUUCAAUGUACAGGAGCUCUUUGAAUUGGGGCCUGAUUCAAUUGACUCUUAAGCCAUUUGAUUUGUUGUGAUACUGCAUAUCACUGAACUAUAUAUAUGUAGGGAUAUUCUAGUUCAGGCUUGUUGAAUUUGGUUAAUUAAUUUGAGGAGAUGGAAAUUUUGCUGCUGAUAUUCCAUGUUUGGAGUGUUGUAGCUGCUAUCUGUUUACGCCACAAUUCUGCAGAAGGGGUGAAGCCCUGCAGACUAUGAAGUAUGAAGAUGAAAAGACAAAGUGAUCCAUUGGGUGUGCCAUGUUAUUUCCUGAGAUCGGAUCAUCAGGUACAUGUUCAGCCCAGUGUGCAAUGUGCAUAUUAAAUGAAUCCCUAUGAUACAGGGACCCGAUUCUUCCUUCUUCAAGUUUACCUUCUCUUCUCAUAGAUAAUGUUGCAAGUAGUAGGUGCAACAUUUAAUGAUCCACUUGCUUUUAUAAUGAUCAUUCUGUCCGUAUGCUGGUUGUAUUCUCUAGCUGAUUUAGAACUUACCUUCUGUGUAAUAUUUUCCUACAAUGAGCUAAAUGUCUAAAGGGGAAUGAUGUGACAGACCUUGACAUCUAGCUUAGAUUUGAGUUGAGCUACAAUCCAUACAAAUAUUUCAUGCAAAUUUAUGAAAUUAUUCACGUCUAAGGAAUAGCCUAUCUUACCCAGGUUUCUGUUUGAAAAUGGGUCUUUUCUGGGCAAGUGAUGGGAUAUGAUAUAUAAUGGUCCAAUUUCCUUGUGA